rnacentral:rRNA from 1 species
GAUGAACGCUGGCGGCGUGCCUAAUACAUGCAAGUCGAGCGAACAGACCAGGAGCUUGCUCCUCUAACGUUAGCGGCGGACGGGUGCUUAACACGUGGAUAACCUACCUAUAAGACUGGGAUAACUUCGGGAAACCGGAGCUAAUACCGGAUAAUAUAUUGAACCGCGUUGGUCCAUAGUGGAAGACGGUUUUGCUGUCACUUAUAGAUGGAUCCGCGCCGCAUUCGCUAGUUGGUAAGGUAACAGCUUACCAAGGCAACGAUGCGUAGCCGACCUGAAAGGGUGAUCGGCCACACUGGAACUGAGACACGGUCCAGACUCCUACGGGAGGCAGCAGUAGGGAAUCUUCCGCAAUGGGCGAAAGCCUGACGGAGCAACGCCGCGUGAGUGAUGAUGGUCUACGGAUCGUAAAACUCUGUUAUUAGGGAAGAACAAAUGUGUAAGUAACUAUGCACGUCUUGACGGUACCUAAUCAGAAAGCCACGGCUAACUACGUG